rnacentral:rRNA from 1 species
AUGAACGCUAGCUACAGGCUUAACACAUGCAAGUCGAGGGGCAGCAUGGUCUUAGCUUGCUAAGGCCGAUGGCGACCGGCGCACGGGUGAGUAACACGUAUCCAACCUGCCGUCUACUCUUGGACAGCCUUCUGAAAGGAAGAUUAAUACAAGAUGGCAUCAUGAGUCCGCAUGUUCACAUGAUUAAAGGUAUUCCGGUAGACGAUGGGGAUGCGUUCCAUUAGAUAGUAGGCGGGGUAACGGCCCACCUAGUCUUCGAUGGAUAGGGGUUCUGAGAGGAAGGUCCCCCACAUUGGAACUGAGACACGGUCCAAACUCCUACGGGAGGCAGCAGUGAGGAAUAUUGGUCAAUGGGCGAGAGCCUGAACCAGCCAAGUAGCGUGAAGGAUGACUGCCCUAUGGGUUGUAAACUUCUUUUAUAAAGGAAUAAAGUCGGGUAUGGAUACCCGUUUGCAUGUACUUUAUGAAUAAGGAUCGGCUAACUCCGUGCCAGCAGCCGCGGUAAUACGGAGGAUCCGAGCGUUAUCCGGAUUUAUUGGGUUUAAAGGGAGCGUAGAUGGAUGUUUAAGUCAGUUGUGAAAGUUUGCGGCUCAACCGUAAAAUUGCAGUUGAUACUGGAUAUCUUGAGUGCAGUUGAGGCAGGCGGAAUUCGUGGUGUAGCGGUGAAAUGCUUAGAUAUCACGAAGAACUCCGAUUGCGAAGGCAGCCUGCUAAGCUGCAACUGACAUUGAGGCUCGAAAGUGUGGGUAUCAAACAGGAUUAGAUACCCUGGUAGUCCACACGGUAAACGAUGAAUACUCGCUGUUUGCGAUAUACAGCAAGCGGCCAAGCGAAAGCGUUAAGUAUUCCACCUGGGGAGUACGCCGGCAACGGUGAAACUCAAAGGAAUUGACGGGGGCCCGCACAAGCGGAGGAACAUGUGGUUUAAUUCGAUGAUACGCGAGGAACCUUACCCGGGCUUAAAUUGCAGAUGAAUUACGGUGAAAGCCGUAAGCCGCAAGGCAUCUGUGAAGGUGCUGCAUGGUUGUCGUCAGCUCGUGCCGUGAGGUGUCGGCUUAAGUGCCAUAACGAGCGCAACCCUUGUUGUCAGUUACUAACAGGUUCCGCUGAGGACUCUGACAAGACUGCCAUCGUAAGAUGUGAGGAAGGUGGGGAUGACGUCAAAUCAGCACGGCCCUUACGUCCGGGGCUACACACGUGUUACAAUGGGGGGUACAGAGGGCCGCUACCACGCGAGUGGAUGCCAAUCCCAAAAACCUCUCUCAGUUCGGACUGGAGUCUGCAACCCGACUCCACGAAGCUGGAUUCGCUAGUAAUCGCGCAUCAGCCACGGCGCGGUGAAUACGUUCCCGGGCCUUGUACACACCGCCCGUCAAGCCAUGGGAGCCGGGGGUACCUGAAGUGCGUAACCGCGAGGAGCGCCCUAGGGUAAAACUGGUGA